rnacentral:rRNA from 1 species
GACGAACGCUGGCGGCGUGCUUAACACAUGCAAGUCGAGCGGAAAGGCCCCUUGUGGGUACUCGAGCGGCGAACGGGUGAGCAACACGUGAGUAAUCUGCCCUUCACUUCAGGAUAGCUCCCGGAAACGGGGAUUAAUACUGGAUAUGACACAUUCGCGCAUGUGGGUGUGUGGAAAGUUUUUUCGGUGGGGGAUGUGCUCGCGGCCUAUCAGCUUGAUGGUGGGGUAAUGGCCUACCAUGGCUUCGACGGGUAGCCGGCCUGAGAGGGUGACCGGUCACACUGGGACUGAGACACGGCCCAGACUCCUACGGGAGGCAGCAGUGGGGAAUAUUGGACAAUGGGCGGAAGCCUGAUCCAGCAACGCCGCGUGAGGGAUGACGGCCUUCGGGUUGUAAACCUCUUUCAGCACAGACGAAGCGCAAGUGACGGUAUGUGCAGAAGAAGGACCGGCCAACUACGUGCCAGCCGCCGCGGUAAGAC